UGCCCUGCCCCGGAAGAUGCCUCGAGUUUUUACAAGAGGUUGGGACUGGACAUUUUGGCCCCGUCCUCUACUUCCGGGCAGACUCAGGAGGCUGGGCCGCCAAAGAAACGUCCUGUUCAACAGGCGAGCCACACAGCUCCCCUGACCACCACGCCCACUCAAAGACACGACAAAGUGGGACAACAGUGGAAUCAGUCUCAGCAGAGAGAAAGGCAGGCGCCACAUCAUUUCAGACAAAACUAUCCUCAUGAAAACAGAUACAAUGAAAGAGCUGCAUAUGUGAAUACUGCUGCCACCUACCGACCGCAAUAUGCUCCGGUCCAUCGUCCUUAUGAGCAACAAGCUCAUUAUACGACAGGCGUGGUACCUAGCAGCAACAAAU